GUUUGUGUGUGAGGGGUGCAGUGUGUGUGAAGGGUGCAGACUGUGUGUGUGUGUGGGGGGGGUUGCAGUGUGUGUGUGUGAGGAGUGCAGUGUGCUUGAGGUGUGCAAUGUGUGUGUGUGAGGGAUGAAAUUUGUGUGUGUAUGUGUGUGUGAGGGGUGCAGUGUGUGUGGGUGGGGUGCAGUGUGUGAAUAUUUUGGGAGGUGUU